AGUGAACGCUGGCGGUAGGCCUAACACAUGCAAGUCGAACGGCAGCACAGUAAGAGCUUGCUCUUACGGGUGGCGAGUGGCGGACGGGUGAGGAAUACAUCGGAAUCUACUUUUUCGUGGGGGCUAACGUAGGGAAACUUACGCUAAUACCGCAUACGACCUACGGGUGAAAGCAGGGGAUCUUCGGACCUUGCGCGAUUGAAUGAGCCGAUGUCGGAUUAGCUAGUUGGCGGGGUAAAGGCCCAGCAAGGCGACGAUCCGUAGCUGGUCUGAGAGGAUGAUCAGCCACACUGGAACUGAGACACGGUCCAGACUCCUACAGUAGGCAGCAGUGCGGAAUAUUGGACAAUGGACGCAAGCCUGAUCCAGCCAUACCGCGUGGGUGAAGAAGGCCUUCGGGUUGUAAAGCCCUUUUGUUGGGAAAGAAAAGCAGCAGGUUAAUACCCCGCGGUUCUGACGGUACCCAAAGAAUAAGCACCGGCUAACUUCGUG
rnacentral:rRNA from 1 species